ACACACACACACACACUCCAAUUAGGACUCAAAGCUGAAAAACAAGGUCCAGUGGAAGCUGAAGGGGCUGGUGGAGCUGCAGACACAGCUGUUUCCCCAGCUCAAGAGAUUGUCUUACAAAGUCUUCAGAAUGAUCUUUAAUAUGAAGAGUAUUCAUGAAAACCAUAUUUUAUGUACUGUUCUGGGCAGAUGAGAUCACAGGAUGGAAGCUAUAUGCAGACAUUCCGAGGACUUCAAGCCUAGGACACAGCAUCUCAGAUAACGCUGAGAGACUGUUCUGAAGAGGCAAGAGGUGGGGAGGAGUCAG